rnacentral:rRNA from 1 species
CAGCCGCCGCGGUAAUACGAAGGGUGCAAGCGUUAAUCGGAAUUACUGGGCGUAAAGCGUGCGUAGGCGGUUUCUUAAGUCUGCUGUGAAAUCCCCGGGCUCAACCUGGGAAUGGCAGUGGAUACUGGGAAGCUAGAGUGUGUCAGAGGAUGGUGGAAUUCCCGGUGUAGCGGUGAAAUGCGUAGAUAUGUGGGGGAAUACCGAUGGCGAAGGCAGCCCCCUGGGAUAACACUGACGCUCAUGCACGAAAGCGUGGGGAGCAAACAGGAUUAGAUACCCCGGUAGUCCCUGUCUCUUAUAC